rnacentral:rRNA from 1 species
CCUACGGGUGGCAGCAGUGGGGAAUAUUGGGCAAUGGAGGAAACUCUGACCCAGCAACGCCGCGUGAAUGAUGAAGGUCUUCGGAUUGUAAAGUUCUUUUCUAAGGGAAGAAGAAAGUGACGGUACCUUAGGAAUAAGCCUCGGCUAACUACGUGCCAGCAGCCGCGGUAAUACGUAGGAGGCGAGCGUUAUCCGGAAUGACUGGGCGUAAAGGGUGCGUAGGUGGUUUGGCAAGUUAGUAGCGUAACUCCAAGGCUCAACCUUGGAACUACUACUAAAACUGUUGGACUUGAGUACAGUUGAGGUAGGCGGAAUUCGUGGUGUAGCGGUGAAAUGCUUAGAUAUCACGAAGAACUCCGAUUGCGAAGGCAGCUUACUAAACUGCCACUGACAUUGAUGCUCGAAAGUGUGGGUAUCAAACAGGAUUAGACACCCGUGUAGUC